AACGAACGCUGGCGGCAUGCCUAACACAUGCAAGUCGAACGAAGGCUUCGGCCUUAGUUGCGCACGGGUGCGUAACGCGUGGGAAUCUGCCCUUUGGUUCGGAAUAACAGCUGGAAACGGCUGCUAAUACCGGAUGAUGACGAAAGUCCAAAGAUUUAUCGCCAGAGGAUGAGCCCGCGUUGGAUUAGGUAGUUGGUGGGGUAAAGGCCUACCAAGCCGACGAUCCAUAGCUGGUCUGAGAGGAUGAUCAGCCACACUGGGACUGAGACACGGCCCAGACUCCGAGGGGAGGCAGCAGUGGGGAAUAUUGCACGAUGGGCGAACGCCUGAUCCAGCCAUACGGGGUCAGUGAAGAAGGACUUCUGGUUGUAAAGCGCUGAUGUUGGGAAAGAAAAGCAGCAGGUUAACCCCCCGCUGUACUGACGGUACCCAAAGAAUAAGCCCCGGCUAACUUCGUG
rnacentral:rRNA from 1 species